rnacentral:rRNA from 1 species
GACGUAGGGCGCAAGCGUUGUCCGGAAUUAUUGGGCGUAAAGAGCUCGUAGGCGGCUUGUUGCGUCGACUGUGAAAACCCGUGGCUCAACCAUGUGGUCUGCAGUCGAUACGGGCAGGCUAGAAUUCGGUAGGGGGAGACUGGAAUUCCCGGUGUAGCGGUGAAAUGCGUAGAUAUCAGGAAGAACACCGAUGGCGAAGGGCGGGGUCUCUGGGCCGAUACUGACGCUGAGGAGCGAAAGCGUGGGGGAGCAAACAGG